CUCAAUGAAAAACAAUAGCAGGUACUCAAAUAAGUAAGACCCGCGUGAGAGUUCACAAGCCCAGCUUGUGUAGAAGGCCACCUGCCAACAGGAAGAAGUGGAGAAGGGCUUGAGAGACUUCUGAGCACAAGUUCACAGAGAGCUGAUCUCCUGUUUCCCAUCACAGCUGUAUCAAAGGGAUUGAGACAGGAAGAAUAAGAGGGAAAGAAGAAGAAAUGACAAAGUACCUUGCCGUAGAGCUGAGUCGAGCUGCUAAAUUCAUCACAGAGCUGCAAACAGCGUGUCUCCCUGGGAUAAAAUGAACCGACAAACUGCCCUACAGAUCAGCCAGUUAAACACAUUGAAACGCCACUGCCACCGGCGGACACGGAUGGCUGGAGAGCUCGGGAGAGAGCAUCACGGUCGCUCGACGCUCCUCCGGCGCGGCCACUUCCUUGGCGUCCGGGAAUCGCACCUUACGGCUACACGUCGGCGCCGGAUUCACCGCCUUGCAGACGAGGAACCCCCCUCUCCUUCCUCCCCGCCUCAGCCCCCGGUGAACACCCAGUAUCUGGGUACUACCUGCGUUUAUCAGC